AUUCGGCUGACGAGACCUAAAUAGGACGAAACGCGCGUCGCACUGGAC
rnacentral:hammerhead_ribozyme from 1 species